rnacentral:rRNA from 1 species
UAGAGUUUGAUCUGGCUCAGAUUGAACGCUGGCGGCAGGCCUAACACAUGCAAGUCGAGCGGCAGCGGGAAGUAGUUUACUACUUUGCCGGCGAGCGGCGGACGGGUGAGUAAUGUCUGGGAAACUGCCUGAUGGAGGGGGAUAACUACUGGAAACGGUAGCUAAUACCGCAUGACCUCGCAAGAGCAAAGUGGGGGACCUUCGGGCCUCACGCCAUCGGAUGUGCCCAGAUGGGAUUAGCUAGUAGGUGGGGUAAUGGCUCACCUAGGCGACGAUCCCUAGCUGGUCUGAGAGGAUGACCAGCCACACUGGAACUGAGACACGGUCCAGACUCCUACGGGAGGCAGCAGUGGGGAAUAUUGCACAAUGGGCGCAAGCCUGAUGCAGCCAUGCCGCGUGUGUGAAGAAGGCCUUCGGGUUGUAAAGCACUUUCAGCGAGGAGGAAGGCAGUCGUGUUAAUAGCACG